GUAGCCCUACGGGGCGCAGCAGUGAGGAAUAUUGCACAAUGGGGGGAACCCUGAUGCAGCAACGCCGCGUGAGUGAAGAAGUACCUCGGUAUGUAAAGUUCUAUCAGCAGGGAAGAAAAUGACGGUACCUGACUAAGAAGCACCGGCUAACUACGUGCCAGCAGCCGCGGUAAUACGUAGGGGGCAAGCGUUAUCCGGAUUUACUGGGUGUAAAGGGAGCGUAGACGGCAGCGCAAGUCUGGAGUGAAAUGCCGGGGCCCAACCCCGGAACUGCUUUGGAAACUGUGCAGCUCGAGUGCAGGAGG
rnacentral:rRNA from 1 species